rnacentral:lncRNA from 1 species
GUGGAACGAAAGUCGACUGGGACUUCUUUUGUUUUCAUUUUAUGAAUUACAAGUUACAAAAUGUAUAAUGAAUACCUGAUCUAUGUUAUAUUAUAAUUCUUUAUGGAUAGACGUCCCGUUCAAUCACACACAAUCUACUUAACUCGAUGUAACCGAGAACAGGCAUUUGAAACAAAUAUUUGUUAAUAAUUAUAUCUUAAAUGGACAUGUACACUACUGUGUUAUAAAUAUACGUUACAGUUUACAGUAGCCAAUAUCUUGAAACUUACAAUGAUGUAAUACACUCUUGUAAUUAUUUUGCUGUGAUACGAGACGACAAUCUCAUUUUAUUCAUCUUAGUUAAAUGUUGAAAACUAAAUUGAACAUUUUCGAAAACGUUGAGCAUGGGAAAAAGUAAAAUCACAAAAAUAAUGAUCUUCG